CGCGGGGUGGAGCAGCUCGGUAGCUCGCUGGGCUCAUAACCCAGAGGUCCAUGGUUCAAAUCCGUGCCCCGCUACCA
rnacentral:tRNA from 1 species